CAGCAGCCGCGGGAAUACGUAGGGUGCGAGCGUUAAUCGGAAUUACUGGGCGUAAAGCGUGCGCAGGCGGUGCUGCAAGACCGAUGUGAAAGCCCCGGGCUUAACCUGGGAACUGCAUUGGUGACUGCAGCGCUGGAGUAUGGCAGAGGGGGGUGGAAUUCCACGUGUAGCAGUGAAAUGCGUAGAGAUGUGGAGGAACACCGAUGGCGAAGGCAGCCCCCUGGGCCAAUACUGACGCUUAUGCACGAAAGCGUGGGGAGCAAACAGGAUUAGAUACCCGCGUAGUCCCUGUCUCUUAUAC
rnacentral:rRNA from 1 species